AACGAACGCUGGCGGCAGGCCUAACACAUGCAAGUCGAGCGCCCUUUCGGGGGAGCGGCGGACGGGUGAGUAACGCGUGGGAAUAUGCCCUUCUCUACGGAAUAGCCUCGGGAAACUGAGAGUAAUACCGUAUACGCCCUUUGGGGGAAAGAUUUAUCGGGGAAGGAUUAGCCCGCGUUGGAUUAGGUAGUUGGUGGGGUAAUGGCCUACCAAGCCGACGAUCCAUAGCUGGUUUGAGAGGAUGAUCAGCCACACUGGGACUGAGACACGGCCCAGACUCCUACGGGAGGCAGCAGUGGGGAAUCUUAGACAAUGGGGGCAACCCUGAUCUAGCCAUGCCGCGUGAGUGAUGAAGGCCUUAGGGUUGUAAAGCUCUUUCAGCUGGGAAGAUAAUGACGGCACCAGCAGAAGAAGCCCCGGCUAACUCCGUG
rnacentral:rRNA from 1 species